UGCUUGAGAGUGGCGAACGGGUGAGUAAUAUAUCGGAACGUGCCCAGUCGUGGGGGAUAACGUAGAGAAAUUUACGCUAAUACCGCAUACGAUCUAAGGAUGAAAGCGGGGGAUUUCGCAAGAAGCCUCGCGCGAUUGGAGCGGCUGAUAUCAGAUUAGGUUGUUGGUGAGGUAAAAGCUCACCAAGCCGACGAUCUGUAGCUGGUUUGAGAGAACGACCAGCCACACUGGGACUGAGACACGGCCCAGACUCCUACGGGAGGCAGCAGUGGGGAAUUUUGGACAAUGGGCGAAAGCCUGAUCCAGCAAUGCCGCGUGCAGGAAGAAGGCCUUCGGGUUGUAAACUGCUUUUGUACGGAACGAAACGGUCCGCUCUAAUACAGUGGGCUAAUGACGGUACCGUAAGAAUAAGCACCGGCUAACUACGUGCCAGCAGCCGCGGUAAUACGUAGGGUGCGAGCGUUAAUCGGAAUUACUGGGCGUAAAGCGUGCGCAGGCGGUUAUAUAAGACAGUUGUGAAAUCCCCGGGCUCAACCUGGGAAUUGCAUCUGUGACUGUAUAGCUAGAGUACGGUAGAGGGGGAUGGAAUUCCGCGUGUAGCAGUGAAAUGCGUAGAUAUGCGGAGGAACACCGAUGGCGAAGGCAAUCCCCUGGACCUGUACUGACGCUCAUGCACGA
rnacentral:rRNA from 1 species